rnacentral:rRNA from 1 species
GGAGUCUGGGCCGUAUCUCAGUCCCAAUGUGGCCGUUCAACCUCUCAGUCCGGCUACUGAUCGCAGCCUUGGUGAGCCGUUACCCCACCAACUAGCUAAUCAGAUGUGAGCCCAUCUUUCAGCGAAUUGCUCCUUUGGUAUCCAGGCGAUGCCGCCCGAAUACGUUAUGCGGUAUUAGCAGUCGUUUCCAACUGUUGUCCCCCACUGAAAGGCAGGUUGCUCACACAUUACUCACCCGUCCGCCACUAAGUCAAAUCCAAACUUCGACGAAUCUCCGUUUGAAAGUGCUUCGUUCGACUUGCAUGUGUUAGGCACGCCGCCAGCGUUCAUC